rnacentral:SRP_RNA from 1 species
GGGUCCCCCCGCAAUGAUAACUUGUGAACUCGGCCAGACCCGGAAGGGAGCAACCGCAGCAGGCGACUCAUGUGCCGGGGUGUGGCUC